rnacentral:rRNA from 1 species
UACGUAGGGGGCAAGCGUUGUCCGGAUUCAUUGGGCGUAAAGAGCGUGUAGGCGGCCAGGUAGGUCGGUUGUGAAAACUGGAGGCUCAACCUUCAGAGGUCGACCGAAACCAUCUGGCUAGAGUCCGGGAGAGGAGAGUGGAAUUCCCAGUGUAGUGGUGAAAUACGUAGAGAUUGGGAAGAACACCAGUGGCGAAGGCGGCUAUCUGGACGGUUUCUGACGCUAAGACGCGAAAGCGUGGGGAGCAAACAGG